GUGGCUGUAGCUCAGUUGGUUUAGAGCGCCGCUCUGUGGAAGCGGAGGUCGUGGGUUCAAGACCCAUCAGCCACCCCA
rnacentral:tRNA from 1 species